rnacentral:misc_RNA from 15 species
AUCUGUGAGUGUAUUGACAGUUAAGUGUGAUUAGUAAAAGUAUUGGCUAUUUUGUGUUGAUGCGUGAAUUGAUGUUUUUUCUUCUUUUUAGCGGCAGCCUGGAUGUUGAUGGCGACGGCGAUAGGGCCUUCAACUUCGCCCAUUUGGCAAGAAUUGGAUGGCGAAAUUGGUGCGGCAGCUGCUGGAGAGGCAGCUCUAUCGGAGGCGUGGCAGGUACGUAUGUUUUGACGGCAGCCUGUGGUCUGGAUGUUGUUGGCGACGGCGAUAGGGCCUUCGAAUUUCGCCCAUUUGGCAGGAAUUGGAUGGCGAAAUUGGUGUGGCAGCUGCUGGAGAGGCAGCUCUAUCGGAGGCGUGGCAGGUACGUAUGGUUUUGUGUAUGUUUGGACCAUUUUGUGUUGAUGUGUGUAUUGACGUCAUUUUGGUUUGUUUACAGUGGCUGCUCUGGACCUGUGCGGUGGAUUGUCAGGAGCGUCGUCAAUAAAUCCUUAAAUGUCGUCCAAUUGGCAUCAGAUGUGUGGUGUUGAUGACGGGGCAGCUGCUGGAGGGGCAGAUCUGUCGGAGGCGUGGCAGUGGCUGCUCUGGACCUGUGCGGUGGA